GUGGUCGCAUGAGCCGGCGGCGGAGCAGAAGGCGGCGGCGGCGGCGGCGACACGGCAGCGGAGCUCCGUGGCCAAGCUGACGACGGCCUCGUCCUCGUCCUUGGCGAACCUCCUCUCGGUCUUCGUCGGGGCGAAUAACAGCAACUCCUCGGCGGACCCGACGCCGCCGCCGAGGCGGAGCUUCGACGAGGGCGGCGGCGUCGGGCUGGGCAUCGUCGCGGCCAUGAGCCACGCCUGCCUGACCGGGGCUGGGGCCGGGGUCGGGGCCGAGCCGAUCGCCAUCGGCGCCGCGGCUAGGCGGCGGCGCGCGCGCGAGGAGGACGAGAGCUACACGUGCGUCAUCAC
rnacentral:lncRNA from 1 species